UAAUUUUAUUUACAGGUAAAAAAGCCAGUAUAAAAAAAUCAGACGAUAAGACCCUGACAAACUUAUCAUUUAGCUGGGGCAGCUCCUUAAAAAAACUUUGUUCCUCAAUAUACACUAACCUAUUUAAAAUAAUUAAGAAAAGUUACUGCAGGGAUAACAGCGCCAUUUCUUUUCAGAGAACUAAUCACAAAAGAACUUU
rnacentral:rRNA from 1 species